rnacentral:lncRNA from 1 species
AAUGUGCUUUUAGUUCAGAGUUUUCCUUGGUUGGGUGUAUUCUGUCCAAAUCAAAUUGAGCCUAGCCAAGCAGUUCAGUAAGGAUUCAGAAGAUGUGUGGUGUUUUGCUUGUUCCUUCUUAGAUGCAGAGGUUUAAAGAACUGCAUCCUUUCCAAGUUAUUCUGUCCUGCUUUCUGCUUGCUCUCUUUUUGUUCCCUGCUUGCCUCUUUCCCCCAGUCCAUCCAAUACAGAAACUAAAUAACAACAAAAGCAACAGUUUAUUAUUAUUGCUAUUACAUUUAUACCUUCUCAAUCACCACCAUUAUCAUCAAUACUACAGUUAAACCUUGUCUUUCCAUUAGGGUUGCCAUAUUUCAAACAGUGAAAAUCUGGGCAGAAAAGUUGUUGAACUUUUUUCUUCGGCAAAAUAACAAAAAAUGCUGUUUUUGAGCUAUUUUUAUGGAAAAUAGGCAAAAACAGCACUGCUGCCAUGGGCUGCCAUUUGUCCUGGACAUUUUGCCAUUUUCCACCCGGACACUGCUUCUGACUGCUGUUUUCCGGAUAUAUCCCUACAUUACUCCCCGAGGCUUAUGGCAGUACUGUACUGUAUUUAUUUAACUACAUUCAUCAACUGCCAUGAUUCCGUCAUGGAACUAGUCUAGGUGGGAAUACAUGGGGGUUUUCAGGUUGCCUCCCAUCCUGGCAUUGACCGGACUCAAAUUCGCUUAGCUUCAGCAAUGUGGCAACAUCAUGUGCUCUCAUGCCCUGAAACUCACAACCAGAAUUAUAAAAAGAGACCAGGAGAUAGCAGAGAAACCUAAAAAAUGAAAGAUUUUGCAAUAUGAACAGUUUCGGGAGUUUUUCACUGAGUCGGUAGAAGGCUAUCAGGAUAAGUAGGCCCCUCUCAGAAGGGAGUGGCUCAAAAGGGACUCUUCUGUGACCCAGACAAAUCUUGUGCCUCUUCCAUAUUCCUACAAUCAGGAUAUCUUCUGCCUGGUUAAUACACCCAUGAAGAGGAGACUAAACCCCCCCCUUAAAGAUAAUUCUUCUAUAUCCUGGGAAAUAGUUUAUAAUUCAUUUGCAGCAGCCUGUUUCCUUUAAAAAUAAUUGUUUCAACUGGCCCUGAGAUUCAGCUAAUCUGGGUUAUAAAUCAAAGUACCUCUGCAAACAAGCUCCAGUUAUAACACAUGGCAUUGAUUAUAUUUCAUUUAUGUUUAUCCCUUUCAUAGGUUUUAAUCUACAAGACAUAUCACAACAAUGUAAAAAAGUUUUAACUUAAUAGUGUAUUUUAGUAGCUGAGCAGUGAAUCACUUCUUUUAUUUACAUUCCUCCAUUUCCAGAGAAGAUUUAACCUUGCAUCUGUCACAUUAAUAGAUAUUUUUGUGUAUAUAUAACACGAAUAAGCAAACAAUAUAGUUCGGCAAAAACAAAUGUAAAAAUUGGCUAUAGAAGCUGAAUUUCCUUAGCUGCUUGUAGAUCACCUCUAAGUGCACCAUAUGCAAAGUGCUGGCAAAUAUAUGCAGGAUGUCUAAUACAGUUUAUCUGUAGUAACCCAGUUUAUCUGCAUAAAGGCACUUCCAGCUGGAGGGUUUUCCGGGUGUUAGGCACAAAGAUUCAGUGCACCUGAUGCCCAAAAGCCUCAUGGGGAAGUGCCAAACUCUAGCUGAUGUUCAAACAGCAAACUGAGUUCUAGAACGGUAAGUGCAGGUGGUGUAGCCCAAUGGAGUAACCAAAAGUGAUGCCUUUCAGAUGUUGUUAGACUACAACUCCCAUCAUCUCUGACCGUUGACAAAUGUUGGCUGAGGCUGAUGGGAGUUGGAGUCCGAACACCAACUUUUACAGGGCCCUUUGCUGGCUACUUUGUGCUAAAGUUCUAAUUUAGUGUCACGGACAACUCAGUCAUAUGGAAAAGUGUUGUAGGGAUGCAGCCAGCCAGAGUCUUUACAAUUGAGUGGGAUGAAUAAACUGGGCCACAGAGGCUGGAUGGGUAGAUAGAUAGAUGGAUGGAUGGAUGGAUAUUGUAUCUUGCAUGCUCGGUAUAUGGCUUUUUCAGAUUACAAAUCUUAUGAAAACAAAAAGCAAUAUAGUUUUAAAAUGUUCAGAAACCACGAAAGCGGAGCAAGUUACAGCAAUGUAAAAACCGCCCAACAGCUAGUCCAGCAAUCUAAAAAUUUUCUGUGAACAAUAUUCCUUGUUGAGAAUGUUUAUGUUUUUCGUAAGUGUGAAUUGGCAUACUUACCUGUUUUUCUUUAGGCUUUUAUUCGUCGCAGGUUAACAGAUUGCCGCUUUUUUCAACAUUUUUUUUAAACCAUUCUGUUGGCUUCAAUAUGAUUUUGUUUGCUUUAUGCAAUGGUUUUACUUCUGCUACCUAUUCAGAGAAUCUUUCCCAUCCGAUGUUUUGAUAAUCCAUUUACAUUAGGAAAUAAAUUUCUGACUGGGAUAUUAUACCUGAGUGCUCUAUUUGAACCAGAGUUGCUGGUGGCCUACAGGUUUCUUGUGUCGCUCUGCUUUUCUUUAGAUCAAACACAUUCAGUAAUCGGUUAUAGAGCAUUUGAGUAAGUGGGAUUUAGUAUUUGUAAUUCAGUGACAUUCCUCCAAAGUGAGAAAAAUGUCUCAGCAUAAAGAGACAUUUUUUCUCAGCAUAAAGAGACAUGCUUUGAGAGUUACAGUAUCUUACCACAUUUAGUACUUUCAUCCAGCUAAAUUCUACAUCCAGGUUAUACUUUUUGUAUAUAUGUGUAUAUCUCUCUUUCUCAAAUAAAAGCUGCUGUAUCCAUUGUAAAUGCUAAAGGUAGCUAGAGUGAAAUUGCUAGAGGGACAGUAAUUAACAGAGCUUUAAUAGGUUGUCAGUGGGUGUGUUAAUUCUAACAAGCUAAUUACUAUGGGAACAGCAAUCAACACAUGAUAAAACAUAAAGCACCCAAAAGUAAUGAAACAAUUUGUAGAACUUCUUAGUUCUUAUGUUCCCUUUUCAGAGAAGCACAUUAAGAGCACCUUUAUGCAACUGAAUAAAGAGACUUUAAUUCUACAUCCACUCACUGAAUUUUUAACCAAGAUGGUACACAGCUAAGGUUUUUUUUUAAGUGUUACAAAUAGCUUGUCUGUAGCAGCAAAAACAGUGAAGGAUCUUGUGGCACUAUAGAAAGGCCAAUAACUUCAUUAUGACAUAGUCUUCUGUAGACCAGACUUCAGAUGUAAGGUGGGUUCUCAUGUCAUUUCGAAGUUACUGAUCUUUAAGACGGCCUACACACAACAGUUUGGUCCCCUGUCUUUUAGCACUGAUGCGCACUACCUGCAAAGUAUAUGGGCACUGAUGCACACUACCUGCGAAGGAAAUGGCAACCUGUAUGCAUGGCUGGCAGCUAUAUAGAUAACACUUUAACUUUUGGUGUAUGGACAACUGCGAAGUGAUGUGUGCAGAAGUAUUCUUGGGGGUGGAGUGGGGAAGCAAGUGCUGCGCAUUUCAGCCGCUUAGUGUGUACACAGCCUAAGGUGCCAUGUGACUUUGCCGGUCUUUACGGUGCGGUGCUGUAACAUGGUCUUGUUGCUGCUGUAACGUACUACCAUGGCUAGCUAUCCAUCUGCAAAUUGUAACCUUAAAAAUUAGGGUGGUAUUGCCAACUAAAUAAGGUGUACAGUUAGUGCAACAGAAGUCCCCCUCCCAUCUUCUUCCACACACACCCUGGUGCAAAUUCUAGAACAGACUUAGGGGCCUGGGGGUGGGAAAGGGGCAGAAUGUUUCAUGAAACAAGGAUACACUGGCAGAAUGUUCACCUUAGCACUAUACUAAAUAUAGUGCUAUAUACCUUAGGUAUAUUCAGUAUACCUUAGCCGGUGACUUGAUUAUGGCUUACAUGAAUUUAAAUAGAAACCAUCAAAGAGCAAUGCUCCUGAGAUGUCCCUGCCCCCCAAGUGGUGGAAUUCCAGUUCAUUGUAAAGACAGACAAGCAUUCUUCUACAUCAUCUGGUAGAUGUUGAAUCUACCAGACAUCUCCAGAUAUUAGUGGAUUUGUUAGUUAGUUAGUUUUUUUACAAAACCAAAAGCAAUGCCCAUGUUCUAUGAAAUAAUAAAUAGUGAAAUGUGUGAACUUUGGCCAUGCCAGCUGAGGCUGAUGAGAGUUGUAGCCCAAAGCUUCUUCCGGAGGGUACCAGUCUGUGAAAGUCGAUUCUACGUGGUAAUGGCUGUCAUUUCAGUGGGCAUUCCUAGACAUCUGUUUUCUGGAUGGCAAGACAACACUUCUUCCACACUUAGAAUGUCUGUCUCUUGUCACCCUCAGUUGCUCUCUUAUUUCCUCCUUCCUCCAGAAAGCUGACUCUUCAGGUUUCUUGCUCGUUUAAGGUAAUUUAGUUGGAGAGAAUGCCAGCUAAUUGUCUGGCAUAAAUAGCCCUGUGCAAAUUAGCCAUCUGCGUGAGAAGCGGCACCUGAAUGCUGCUGUGAAAGAGCACUAAUUUUUAAUUUGGGUAUUCACUGGGGAAAUGUUGCCAGAGUUGGGUUCAGGCACUCGCUCAGCGUGAACUAUAGCCUUCCUAAACACACCAUGAGCUAAUGUAACAUGGAGGCGUUCAUGUGGGAAAUUAAAAAGUCAGAUGGACGAAUGAUGCAGCUUUGAGAACUCAAUAAAAACUUAUUACCUACUAGAGUGAUCCUAAUAUCCCAGUGAUAGAAAUGCCGGUGGUAUUGCAAUGGCAGCAGGAGAUUUUCUUUCCUUGUAUUUUGCAUGUGUGUGUGAGAGAGAGGGAAUUUUUCAGAAGAGAUUAGAAUUUAAUUUCCUUCUGGAUAUAGUUAGAUUUAAAUGGAAAUGUCCCUCUUUUGCCCUUUCACAAAAUGCCUUGGUUCCCUAGUUGUACUCGUCAACCCUUAAGCAAUAUGGGGAGCGUAAGUGCACUUAAUAUUUGGCAAAAUUCAGGGCAGUAGUGAGAAUAGUGGUUUAGGCCUCUUAUGACCCUCAUUAAAACCAUCUCUUAUGUGGAGUGAUGGGAAAGAACAAAAGAAUUAAUUGUCUUCUGCUAGUAUGUGAACAUUGCUAACGUGGGCAGAUGCAGUCACACAGACAGCACUGGGAACAGAUUUGGUAAAAUAUAAAAGGUUUAGACUGCUAAAUUAGAUUGAAGGUCCAUUUAGUCCUCAUCCGAAAGAGGUCUAUAAGCAGAACAUGAAGGCAGCAUCCCUCCUUGGUUGUAUGUCCCCAGCAUUUGGUGUUCAGGAGGUAUAUGCAUCUGCCCAUGGAUGUUUUAUGUAUCUACGGUAAUUUGCCUAAUAGGCCAGGAUACCUCAUGCAAAGCACAAGGCUUUGUUUUAUUUCUAGGGUCUUUCAUGAGUAUCAGAGCCUUUUGAGACCACUUCACUCAAAACUGAAGUUUGAAAGCUACAUGUUAUGCUUCUAGUCAGGGAAACAAUACUCAAAGGAGGAGAAUAACAAAAUGUAAAUAUUAACGCUGCAUAUAUUGUACAUGACCAAGUGCCUCAGACUGAUUGUGCCUGAUGCACAGUUUCUUGUUUGCUCUGGAGGGGUAAGAUUUUAAUAGAAGUACCCAAAAUGGGGGGGGGGGGAGGCAGUUAACGACUUCUUUUAAGGCAGUGGUCCUCAACCUUGGGUCUGCAGAUGAUGUUGGACUAUAACAGGGAUGAUAGAAGUUAUAGUCUAACAACAUGUGGGAUGAACAUUUCAUACUACAGUAUUUGUGACUAGAGAAAGGUCAGUUGGUAGCACUCAAUUUAUUUCAUUUCAGAAGGAAAUAGUUAUGGAAAUCUUCAGACGUGUUUGAAAGAACUCUCAGUAAAAUGACAUGACGAACAUGGAAAGAUCUGUUGGGGGGAGCAGGAAAUCACUGGGGUAUGGAAGACAUUUGCCAUGUGUUUUGGGAAGCUUCCCUUUCCCUUUCCAGCCUGUGUUAGCAAAUAGAUAAUAGGCUGGGCAUACAAAUUUACUAUCUGAGCAUACAUCACGCAUGUAGCUUUCAAAAGUAUGAGCUUGUCUCUUUGAGCUUUCCAGAGUUACAGGCGUUCAAUACACCCAUACCCUUUGUGCUGAAUCAGGGUCAUUGUGACUGGUGGCAUUUCCUAGCUGAUUAUGAAGAGCGUGUGAACAAGAAGAGGGCUAAUGUCUGCCUAAUGUCUCUCCAGAGGAGUCUCAGGUCAAAUCAGCCACCUGUGUGACUAUGUAAACAAUUGCUUAUGUCUAUUUGCCAUUGGUUUUCAGCUAAAUCUGUGUCUGGUUCCAUUCUUUUUAUAGUUUGUAUGGAUUGCUUGUCUAGAACUAAUUGCACUUACUUUCCCAUUCAUUAGUUUAUAUCCAAGCCUCAGCAGAGGAAUUUCUGUGGGAGUUACUUGUUGAAGACCGCUCGGCUUCAAGACAAUUAUAGAGCACCUGUCAAGGUUGCUAGUCCUACAAGCCUUUAUGAUACACUAUAAUCUGGAAGUUGUGGAUUAGUCUCCCAAGUGGUGUUGGGUAAGGAGUUAUCUCCUGCUUUCAGCACAAGGUCUUUGGACCAGCCUGGCUCCAAACUUCUUGUAAAAGGGAACAUAUCACUGACUGCUAAGACUCGUUUUCCCCCCAUUGCCGAUAAGAGCAUUGAACU